UCAAAUUUGUUGAAUCAUACUCCCCUAUAUAUCAUGGAGAAAGGAACAGCUCUGUUUUACCCAUAUAUAUGUAUACAGAUCCACAAGCUGAUCGUCCAACCUGCAUAGUGCAUAACAACAUUCCAUGUCAAUGGAUUCAUCCAUGCCUUUUGCUCUGCUGCUUGCCUUGUUCAUACCCAUCCUCCUCCACCUUGUCACCAGGCACAAGUACUCAUCUGAUAAUCUCCCUCCAGGUUCCCUUGGCUUCCCAUUGAUCGGCCAAAGCAUCUCCCUACUUCGUGCCCUCCGCAGUAAUACUGAUUACCAGUGGUACCAGGACAGGAUCAAGAAGUAUGGUCCUGUGUCCAAGAUGUCAGUGUUUGGCUCACCAACAGUGCUGAUGGCUGGCCCUGCAUCCAAUCACUUUGUUUUCAGCAACCAGGACCUCAUUUUCACCCAGACAAAGGCGAUCAACGUCCUUAUCGGGUGUUCCAUAAUGACACUCUCAGGUGACGAGCUAAAGCAAGUCCGCAGUGCACUGCAGGGCUAUCUGAGUCCGGAGAUGGUGACAAAAUAUGUCUGGAAGAUGGAUGAGGAAGUAAGGAGGCACAUUGACCUGAAUUGGGUUGGUCAUAAGACUAUCAAGGUCGCACCGUUGGCGAAGAGGCUCACCUUUAAUAUCAUCUCCUCAGUCAUGUUUGGACAAGGGGCAGCUCCUUUCAGAGAAGCCCUUGCAAUAGAUUUUGAGAAAGUGGUGAGGGCUGCGUUGUCGAUUCCAGUGAAUAUACCCUUCACCAAGUUCAACAAGGGCUUGAGUGCGAGCCGGAGGAUUAGGAAGUUGCUCAGGCAGAUUGCUCACGAGAGGGAAGCAGCAUUUCAGCAAGGCUAUUGCAGUUCAGCUGAUGAUUUCUUUACAUACAUGCUUGCUUUACGCUCCGAAGGAAAACACUCUCUCACAGUGGAGGACAUUGUGGACAAUGCAAUCUUACUCCUGAUUGCCGGUUAUGAGACGUCAUCUGUUCUUAUCACCUUCUUGAUCCGACAGCUAGCCAAUGAGCCGGACAUCCUUGGCAAGAUAACUGAUGAACAAGAGGAGAUCGCUAGGAACAAAGGACCUAACAAGCCUUUGACCUGGAAUGAUGUUUCAAGGAUGAAGUACACUUGGAAGGUGGCAAUGGAGACGCUACGGACAGUUCCUGCACUUCUAGGAAGCUUCCGAACAGCUACCAAAGACAUCGAGUACCGGGGCUAUCACAUUCCAAAAGGCUGGCAAAUGAUGGAGCUACCAACUUUCAUCUACUUUGUUUCUUAGAGCUUUCCAUUUGCUAGGAGCAUUCAUUUCCCUUAUAUUCCAAAUUCAAAAUUUUCCAUUGCCCAUUCAUGAUAUAACAAGAUGGUAAAAGAGAACUGAAGCCGAGGCAACCAGCUGCACUGCAAGCACCCUGAGAGCAGGACCAGAGGAUGUUGGUCUCGAUGACAUAAACGGAUUUAUAAAAGAAGAGCAUGAAUCUUGGUUACUGGAGUCAAGUAGACUCAUAAGCAUGAAUCUCUUCUUCCUGCUCUCAGAAUAUUUACUAACAAGUCGGAGUCAGAAUAUUACAGGCUUAUGAGUCUGAAAACAAGUCUGUCCAAAAAUAAUACUCCCUCUAUCCGUUUACGUUUGACGUUGGUUAGCUCAAAGACGAAGUAACUAACAUCAAACAUUUGUGGAAGGAGGUUUUUAGUAGUCACCUCCUCAUGAAGGACUCUGCAGAAAUCAACACAGAGAUUGCGUAUCACUUUCUCAUUUAACACCGGAGGAAUUGCAUUACAGGCCAAACAAGUGCUCUUCUUGUAGUCAAAAUGUUUAAAUCGGCAU